AGGAGGGAGCUGCCGAAGGUGGGACCGAUAACUGGGGUGAAGUCGUAACAAGGUAGCCGUAUCGGAAGGUGCGGCUGGAUCACCUCCUUUCUAAGGAA
rnacentral:rRNA from 1 species